CCCGAUUGAUUCUGUCGGCGGUUAUAUGCUUGUCUCAAAGAUUAAGCCAUGCAUGUCUAAGUUCAAAUAACGGAAAAGUGAAACCGCAAAGAGCUCCUUACAACAGCUAUUAUUGGCUUGAUCUUGAUAUUCUACGUGGAUAACUGUGGUAAUUCUAGAGCUAAUACAUGCACCAAAGCUCCGAUUCAUGAGGAGCGCACCUAUUAGACUAAAACCAACCGGGUUUCGGCUCGGUGUUUUGGGGACUCUGAAUAGCUAUAGUUGAUCGCAUGGUCUUGUACCGGCGGCGUGUCUAUCAAGUGUCUGCCUUAUCAACUUUCGAUGGUAGUUUAUGUGCCUACCAUGGUUGUUACGGGUAACGGAGAAUUAGGGUUCGACUCCGGAGAGGGAGCUUGAGAAAUGGCUACCACAUCCAAGGAAGGCAGCAGGCGCGCAAAUUACCCACUCUCGGUAUGAGGAGGUAGUGACGAGAAAUAACGAGACCGUUCUCAUUGAGGCCGGUUAUCGGAAUGAGUUGGAUCUAAAUGUCCUGACGAGGAUCUAUGAGAGGGCAAGUCUGGUGCCAGCAGCCGCGGUAAUUCCAGCUCUCAUAGUGUAUAUCGUUGCUGCUGCGGUUAAAAAGCUCGUAGUUGGAUCUGCGCUUGAGAACUUGGUCCACCAUUUUGGUGCUGAACUAAGUACAUCUCAGUGUUUACCGUUUAGCUGGUUCUCCUAGCGUUGCCUUUACCGGUCGCGUUAGGUGGCUAGCAAGUUUACUUUGAAAAAAUUAGAGUGCUUAAAGCGGGCUAUCGAUGCUUGAAUAGUGGUGCAUGGGAUAAUAGAAUACGAUUACGGGUCUAUUUUGUUGGUUUUCUGAUCUGUGAUAAUGGUUAAGAGGGACAAACGGGGGCAUUCGUAUCGCUGCGCGAGAGGUGAAAUUCGUGGACCGUAGCGAGACGCCCUACUGCGAAAGCAUUUGCCAAGAAUGUUUUCAUUAAUCAAGAACGAAAGUCAGAGGUUCGAAGGCGAUCAGAUACCGCCCUAGUUCUGACCGUAAACGAUACCAACUAGCGAUCCGCUGAUGGCAAUUACUCGCCUUAGCUGGUAGCUCUCCGGAAACGAAAGUUUUUCGGUUCCGGGGGAAGUAUGGUUGCAAAGCUGAAACUUAAAGAAAUUGACGGAAGGGCACCACCAGGAGUGGAGCCUGCGGCUUAAUUUGACUCAACACGGGAAA
rnacentral:rRNA from 1 species